UGCCGUUAAAAGUAUCGCGUAUACGAGUGCGAGAGUGCCGUUAAAAAUAUCGGGCGUUAAUCAACGGACUUAAUUAACGACUCUAAGUCUGAGAGGAGGAAAAGGUCUAGAAGAGGCUACCAGUGAAGCAACUCUAAGAUAACGUGACAUUCGGGAGUGCUGUUAAAAGUAUUGCGCGUACGCGAGUGCGGGAGUUCCGUUGAAAGUAUCGCGCGUAUUUUAAUGAAUGGACUUUGACGAUUCCCUGAUAUUCUGAGAGGAGGAGGAGGCUUAAAGGAGGCAUCAGGCACCAGUGGAGCAACCCUAAGACAACGUAGCUUGACAUCUGUUGUGCAUCGGUAUCAGUGAAUGAGAUAAACUUUUAUUUAAUUU